rnacentral:rRNA from 1 species
AUUGAACGCUGGCGGCAGGCCUAACACAUGCAAGUCGAACGAGUGGCGGACGGGUGAGAAAUGUCUGGGAAAAUGCCUGAUGGAGGGGGAUAACUACUGGAAACGGUAGCUAAUACCGCAUAACAUGCGAUGUGCCCAGAUGGGCUUAGCUAGUCGGGGGGGUAAAGGCUGACCUAGGCGACGAUCCCUAGCUGGUCUGAGAGGAUGACCAGCCACACUGGAACUGAGACACGGUCCAGACUCCUACGGGAGGCAGCAGUGGGGAAUAUUGCACAAUGGGCGCAAGCCUGAUGCAGCCAUGCCGCGUGUAUGAAGAAGGCCUUCGGGUUGUAAAGUACUUUCAGCGGGGAGGCGUUACCCGCAGAAGAAGCACCGGCUAACUCCGUGCCAGCAGCCGCGGUAAUAC